rnacentral:rRNA from 1 species
GGAUGUGUUCGCGUACCAUUAGCUAGUUGGUAGGGUAAUGGCCUACCAAGGCGACGAUGGUUAGCUGGUCUGAGAGGAUGAUCAGCCACACUGGAACUGAGACACGGUCCAGACUCCUACGGGAGGCAGCAGUGAGGAAUCUUGCGCAAUGGGGGCAACCCUGACGCAGCAACGCCGCGUGAGUGAGGAAGGUCUUCGGAUCGUAAAGCUCUGUCGGAUGGAAAGAACCGCAUAGGGGCAAACAGCCCCUGUGUCUGACGGUACCGUCAAAGGAAGCACCGGCUAACUCCGUGCCAGCAGCCGCGGUAAUACGGGGGGUGCAAGCGUUGUUCGGAAUUAUUGGGCGUAAAGAGCGUGUAGGCGGCCGGAUAUGUCAGAUGUGAAAGCCCUGGGCUUAACCCAGGAAGUGCAUUUGAAACUGUCCGGCUCGAGUAGGGGAGAGGGAAGUGGAAUUCCUGGUGUAGAGGUGAAAUUCGUAGAUAUCAGGAGGAACACCGGUGGCGAAGGCGACUUCCUGGCCCUAUACUGACGCUGAGACGCGAGAGCGUGGGUAGCAAACAGGAUUAGAUACCCUGGUAGUCCACGCCGUAAACGAUAUUCACUGGGUGUUGGGGGUAUUGACCCCCUUCAGUGCCCGGAGCUAACGCAUUAA